GUCUGUGGUAUGAUGUGACCCUCCGUUAUGCACGUGCUGUGCCUUUUACUAUGGUCCGCACAUCUUGCACACUCUCUGCUUUGCCUUGCCAUUUAGUCCUCUUUGUUCUUCACUGCAUGAUCUUCCUGUUGGUAUUCCAGCACUGGGAGAUCCUUUCUUCAGCUGUGUCCAGGUUCCCAAUGAACCCAUCACAGGUAGUCUCCUGUCUCUGCCACAGUUUUCUUCUUGACUCUUCCUAGGAUUUCUGCCUCUCCACAGGUUGGUGUCUACUUUUGCAUGCUCUCUGCUCUAUUGGAGUCUUUGGUAGAUGAUCAAUACUUCUUUAAAAUUCCCAUUCUGAUCAUUCCAGCAUUUCCCCAUACCGGGUUCUGUCUUUCAAACUCUUUUUAAAAGCUUUUUAGCAUGCCUUGUACUGUUGCCGUCUUGGUAGACCAUGAUGUACUGGGUAAGGGAAAUACUGGCACCGGGCCUUUCGUCUCAUGCAGGUAAACAGGUGAUGUCUACCCUCCAUCUCCAGCGCUCCCGCUCUGUGGGAGAUGUGGAAAUGUGCAUCUUUACAGUGGAGGCAGAAGGAAGAGAGGCGCUGACAGUAAGUGGCCUGCAAGGCAUCUGUCUUCAUGUGUCUGAGUGUCACAAGGGAUCAUGGGUUAGAGUCAUAUGAGAGGGUUGACUCUGAAAAGCACGGGUGUUUCAGAAGUUCUAAAGCAGCAGGGACAAGAAGAGAGAACAAAGGUCAACACAGUGCUUCUAAUUACACCUCAGCACUAGCUUCAGAAGAUGUUGGCUCUGAGAUUCCAACUUACUGUUUAGACAGAUUCUGGCAGUCUCUGUGGCUUGGCACCUGUAAAUUAAGACAAAAUGCCAGUCCCUAUGAAAAGGGAGCACUUCCCCUGCUACGUUAGUAUCCUGUGCUAAUCAACACACAAGCCUACUGCUUGGAGACCUCGGCAGCUAAACCUACAUUACUAAGCAACAUCCCACUGUCGUCGACUUCCUUUUGUUGGUUGUUUGUUUCAUUUUGGUUUCUUUUGGAGACAGGCUUAUGUCUUAUGUAACCCAAGACUGACUUCAAGUUCCCAGUCCUCCUGUCUCAGCCCUCAGGGCUGAGUUUAGAGGAACCAACACCACAGUCUUCCCCCUCUCUCAUUGUGAAGCCUCCGAUGACCUCUUCUCCCCUGCUUACCACAUGGACGGAAAUCUUACCAAGCCGCAUAUGGGUAUGAGAUGAGCAGAGAGAAAGUAAAACCCACGUGAAGUUCCCGGAGCAAUGGCCUGGCUCACGGGGCCUUGCCUGCGGACACACCACACUCUUGUUUUCUUGGUGGUGUGCAGCAGUUUCCUCUCUACCCUCACUUCAAACACCUGCUUUUUAAAUUUCAUUCAUAAUGUGACCUGAAGUCCCCCACCUCCCUCUGCAGCCUCCUGCAGAUAAUAGGAGAAAGAUGCAUCAUGGGGUGUGAGAUGACACUGAAAAUUCUGUUUACCCACAAUUCCUCUUCCUCUCUCCCAUUCAAAGCUGGAGCAUUUACCCACACCGAGCCCAAGUCUAAAUGCUCAGUUCCUGAUGGUUUUCUUUUAAAUAAAUCAUACUUGGUGAGAUGUGCAGUUCUAGGAGAAAAAAACAAAAAGAAGGAAAGAACUCCAAGUAACAGGGGAGACACGUUAUAUAGAUUUCCUAGCAUCCGACAAUUGUGCUGAUGAGGGCAAGAUAGAGCUGCCCGUGCAAGAUUGACAAUGGGGGGAGGGCAGUGCCUGGACGUAACCCAACGUCCCCCAGAGGAAAGAUGGUCCAUUAGCAUGCAUUGCCCCUGAGCAGGAACGCUGAAGCCAGUGUCAGUCAGCAAAGGGGUAUUUCUUCUUCCUUGUGCAAACAACUGUUUCCUGACCAAGGACUCCGAGGGUGGAACAUGUUUUCUCUUUGGUUAGAAAAACAAACACAAACUUCCCCUCCGUGGUGCAUCACAGACUCCUUUAUCUGCUUUGCUACAGGGAGAGAGAAACUGCCAAUUCACUCACGUCCUUGGCGGUCUGUCGCACAUCCCUUCCUGGCUCCGUUUCUUGGAUACCCAGCUGGCACCCCCUGGCCCUGGCGUGGAUCCCACACUUACCCUCUCUUUCACAGUAUGGAAUUUUAAAUGCAGCUGAGCCCCACUAGGACUUACUCUCUAUCUCAGGGGGGAAUUAGCUUUGAAUGCAAUCCAGGCGCUCACAUUCCCAAAUCCUGGGAGUCUGCUCUUCCCAAACGCCUGAUGGAACAUUUUGUUGCGGCUUGCAGGGAGUCAGCCAGCCUUGUUUGUUCUUUUCUUUAGAGAAUGCUGUCUUCAGGCCUAGGAGUGGAAAGGGCGUUGUGCUCAGGAAGGCUGGGCUUCUCCCCCACCUCUCCCUGUCUCUACCAGAAGUUCUAUUGCACCGUGUGGAUGGGAUAUUGAGCUCUGGGGGAAAAUCUGCUAGCCAGGCUGCUUGGAUAUUCGAAAUGUCACCUCUACAUUUUGAAAUUUUGGACCAGACUGGCUUCUUUACUUAAUGCUAGAGGGGUAAACAGAGUGUGUUCUCAAGGGAGAAAGCAGAAGCAGAGAAGCCAGCAGGGCACAGCUGACAGGGGGCCAGGCUCUUUGUCACAGAGAACUAAGACCACUGUUGUUGGAUCCGGAGAUAAACAGCCAACUGAAAUUCCCUUGGUUUGAUGCCAGCAGCCAGCAGGGGUGGAUGGACACACACACACACCCUAACACAGAAGAAGUGUGAAUUUUGUUCACUUAGAUCUCUAGGACCAAGUAGAAGAGAUUCAAACCGUUACUAAGUAUCAAGAUCAGGCACCAGCCUUGGUGCUUUACCUUAUUCACCUUACUUCUUGAGACAACUUAGAAAGUUUAGUGCUCUGACCUCUGUUUGUGCUCGGAUUUCUGUUUACAUUCACAGCUCUGCCAUUCUGACUCACUUGUCUCUUCUGACCAGCCUUUCUAGAGGCCCCUGUCCUUUACCCAAACCAGCCAUCUUGAUUUUUAUCUUUAUCAUCCUUACAGUCUAGAUGAGUUUCUUACUCCAGUUUAACAGUCUUUUCAACUGUGCUUUGUUUAGAAUCUAUCAAAUCCAGAGGACAUAUUUUCUUUUCUGUCAUCUCCGCCUUUAUAUCCACCUGCACUUGCAUUAUACCAUAAGUGGUAUGGUAUAUUGGUGGCUUGCCUCUAUUUACUUUUGCAACUGGGCAUAAAAACUCAUUUAUAAAUAAAAAUUCUUAGAAAGAGCUGUUUAAAACUGCACAGGGACUGCAGAGAGAGGGAGAAUCAGCCUCUCCCGGGGAUAAUCCCCUUAUUGGUUAUCCAAUGCAAAGUCAUCAGUCCUGAAGCCAUAUACACACAAACAGCAAAAAUUAACUCAGCGGGUUAUAGUUGUAUAUUUGUGUAUACAUAUCCGUGUGCACACAUGCAUGUGUGUGUAACGACAAUUGGGAGAGAAGAGGCUAUCAAUUUGAGUGAGGCAGGGGACAUGAUGGAAGUUGGAGAGAGGAGAAUGGGGAAAGGCCGGAGGCGGAGCAGGAAGGCAGAAACGGAUGGAAUUACAUAUUUAAUUCGAAUAUAUGUAUAAAAAAAAUUUAAAUUGACAAAAAUACAACAUGGUGUAUGACAAACAUACAAGAUGGUGACAGCAGUUCACCAUCUCCCAUGAGAGGACUUCCCCAGCCCUUAUUUUCCCUUAUUUUUACAUAUGUUAGGCUUUAGUACAUGCAUGUAUUACAUACUGAACAUAUCCCCUCUGUGCCACCUGCCCUCCCCUUUCUCACCCACACACAUCCUUUUAAUUCCCGUUGUUCUUCUGGGAAGUUUUACUUCUACUUUCAUAGAGGAUUUUUCUAUGUAGACGAAACAUGACACUUGCCUGCCAGACACUGGACUUCUGCUUGGCCCCAUCAAUGCCCGCAUCUGGUUUUGUGCCAGUGCCAGGAUGUUCCUGUCACUUUGGCUCAGUGAUAUACUGUGACAGCAGGUGUGCUGAUAGCUAGUGUUUUUUUUUUUUAAUAUUUAUUUAUUUAUUAUAUGUAAGUACACUGUAGCUGUCUUCAGACGCCAGAAGAGGGUGUCAGAUCUCUUUACAGAUGGUUGUGAGCCACCAUGUGGAUGCUGGGAUUUGAACUCAUGACCUUUGGAAGAGCAGUCGGUGCUCUUACCAGCUGAGCCAUCUCUCCAGCCCGAUAGAUAGUGUUUUUACUAGGAUUGUUGUGGCUCUCCAGAGUAUUUUGUGUGUUUUGAUAUUCAUUUUAAGGCUUCCAUCCUAUUUAUGUAAAGAAUAGAAUUCAAAUUUAAUUGGUAUCAUAGUUUUUCUUUUUUUUCUUUUUUUUUAACUUUUCUUUUUUUUUUUUUCUGAGACAGGGUUUCUCUGUGUAGUUCUGGCUGUCCUGGAACUCACUUUGUAGACCAGGCUGGCCUCAGAAAUCCACCUGCCUCUGCCUCCCAAGUGCUGGGAUUACUGGCGUACACCACCACGCCCGGCACGGUAUCAUAGUUUUUCAAUCUGUAGAUUACUUUUGAUAGGAUAGCCAUCUUCGCUAUUUUCCAUCUAUGUUCCAAUCCAUGGGCAUUGGACAUCUGUCCACCUUCUAGUGUCUUCCUCGAUUUUCCGAGCAUUUUAAAGGUUCCUGCAGAGAUUGAUCAUUUACUUCAUUGGUUACCUUUAUUCUAGGGUGACAUACGUCCUCUUACAGAGUGUCAGUUCUUCAUGAUUCAUUGAGGGUUGUGAAUAUAAGCAUUUUCAAGCCUUGAACAUUUCCCAUAAUUUUGUUUCUUUCUCAGAAAAACUCACAUUCGGUUAUCUGCAGGGUCUCACUCCGCGCACACCAUACUGGCCUCAAACUCACAGCAGCAUAAGUGCCUCAGCCUCCUAAGUGCAGGGAUUCCUGGCUUGUGCCACCGCGUCCAGCUUCCCACUGGGUAUCUUUAUUGCUGUAAGAUCUCUUCAUGGAUUUUAGCUGUGGCUUGCAAGGUCAUUGUACACAGACAGUUUCCCCCUCCUUUCUUUCUCCCUGUGAGUUCAUCUCCCUUUGGGCUUGUUGUUGAGUCCUUCUUUAGGUACUGAAUUCUACUUUAAGUAGUGGCUGGCCACAGACUUUGCAGUCUCUUUCCACCAGCCAUGGACACCCUGCCCUGCCUGGCCUUUGGAUGCAGGCUCAGUAUACAUGCUUGGUGCUGUGCUCUGGCUCCCAGCCUCGUGUGCAACUCUCUCUCUCUCUCUCUAAUAGUUUGUUUCUACUGAAUUAUUAAUUAUGUGGAACUGUGAGUUUGCAGAGACCAGACCUACCCUCUUGUGCUUGUGAACUGCCUGAAAUAGGUGCUCGGAAGCAUCAAUCUUAGCUGGAAGAGCAGGAAUCACUCUUAACUGCUGAGCCAAGUCUCUGGCUCAUGUGAUCUUUUGACUCUAGCUGUAGAAGCUGCACCCUCUCAGAGGCAGCAGCCCAGGUCAGUCUCUACUUAUCACUUCUCAUUGUGAUUCACUUCCUAGGAAUCACAAAGGAGCAGCUAUGGCUAAGCUCAGAGUAAUUAACCUGGAGAGGCAGUGAGUUCAGACAUCAUGGGCAAGUUUCAGGGAAGGAGCUUCAGCUACUGAAAUGGAAGGAAACCCAUCCUAGGAGAAUCAGGCUGAGAGUCCUUAACUUCCCAGGUCUUCUCUUUCUCCUCCUUUCCUGGUCCUUUCCCUGAGAUCCCAUUCCCUGUUGGUGAUUAUCAUUAGGGACCCGCCAUUCUGACCUACCACUUUCCUACAGUCUGCCUUCUUCAAAGUAAAACAGACUUGUAACCUUCUACACUCUCAUCCUCCCUUUCAAGGUCAUCUGGGUUCAUAGACAUGUACAGGGAAGCGGUCAGCUAUUUCUUUUCUUUCUUUCUUUUUCUUUUUCUAAAAGAUUUUAUUUAUUUCAUGUAUCUGAGUACACAGUCACUGUCUUCACACAUAUCAGAAGAGGGCAUCAGAUCUCCACUACAGAUGGUUGUGAGCCACCGUGUGGUUGCUGGGAACUGAACUCAGGACCUCUAGAAGAGCAGUCAGUGCUCUUAAUCGCUGAGCCAGCUCUCCAGCCAGGUCAGCUAUUUCUCAACACAUCCAUCAAGCCCUUACUAUGUGGCCCUGCUUCGUGGGUCACAGUGAGUGGACACAAGUGGCCACAGCUGGGCCACUCUAGAUCAUAGCUGUCUCCAGUCAUGAGACUAAGGGAUGACCCUACCAUCGCUCCUUGGAACUUGCGACCUUGGGACACGAGCACAGUGCCCAGGAGACUAGCAGCUUGGAGAUAUCACGAUAGCACGCUCCUGGUCCUGUUGAAGCAAAUGGCUUAUAGGAGACAUUAUAGGCUGGAUCAGUCCUGCCAAAGCAGAACGAGAGGGAGCUGUGGCAGCUGUAGGGCAUUUCUAGUCCUUGUAGGCUGCAGCCGGUUCACCCCAGCCUAGUAACCCUGUGAAGGAAUCACUGUUACACCUCUUUUCGUAUUUUCAUUUUUCAAAAGAAAGUUCCCUUUUUUUUGAUAUUAAGAAUGCUGUUCAUUUAAACAGUUCAAAACAACAUCGAGGGACUGGGGAGAUGGCUCAGUGGUUAAGAACAGGCAAUGCUCUUACAGAAGACCUGAGUUUGAUUCCUAGUACCCACAUACUGGGCAGCUAACAACUGCCAAUGAUUCUGGUUCCAGAGGAUCCUAUGUUCAGGCCUUUAUGGGUAUAUGCAUGCAUACACUCACACUCAGACACAUAAUAAAAUAAAAUACUUUUUAAGGAAAAUAAUGACAAUGAAAAGUAUAAUGUAUAAAGGAAAAAUUAUUGUUACUCUGUCAGCCAGAUAGAGACACUGACAUGUAAUAUUUCCCAGGCGUUUUGUUUUGUUUUGUUUUGUAGGACAGGAUCAAAUUCUAUACCACAAGCUAUCCUGGAACUCAGUAUGCUGUCCUGACUGGCCUCAGACUCCACUUUAUGUUAGCCUGAGUGAGCUGCCCCUCCUAGCCUGGGCAUUUGUUUUAUGUAUUAAAAAAAUAGAUAAUUUUAUAAGAGAAAAAUAUAUGGAAUUCUAUAACAUGCCAUUCUAAAAUAUGUUUGAAGUAUCUUUAUAAUUACUUUCAAAUGUACAUUUCAAAAGCAAGUAGUUCAUCUUCACGGUAUAUGGGAAUUUCUGUUUCCCAGCGCUCCUUCCCGCAUUUAUUUGUUCCAAGUUUUUUAUUACAACGAGCACAGCACUGAAUGUCUGUGUGUUUGUUUUGGUGUGCUAUUUUUUUUAAAGUAUUUCUCAUUUUGUCAUGUCUCUAAAUUUCCUGUUCCUGCUCCUUUUCCUUCCUUUCUUUCUUCCUUUCUUCCUUCCUUCCUUCCUUCCUCCCUCCUUUUUGCCCCCUCUUUUGCAAUGAAUCCAGGAUUCUCACAGAGCCACAACCCCAGCCCAAAUCCCCAAAUUCUAACACUAACAUCUUAUCAUUUGAGUUAUGGGAUUCAACCGGCUUUGGCAACUCCUUCUGGAGCCAAGCUUGGAAGUAAGUUUCUUAUGUUCUUUGGAUUUGGUGCUUCUGCAUUUAUACUUCAUGAGAGACUUUGUAUUAAAUUUGGAGACACAGCUGUGGAUAAGGUCUGGGGUAUGCCCUUUGUGGGGGAAGGGAAGCUGACACCUGCGGAACCCUGACCAUGACAGCACUAUAAAUAGGAUUCUGGGGAUCAGAAUCCACCUUUAUGUGGGUUCCAGGGAUCAAACUCAGGUCAGCAGGCUUGCCCAGCAAGCACCUUUCCCUGUGGAACUCUCUCAUCGGUUCCCAACAGGACUCUUGUUCAUUCUUCACUUAACAACAACAGUCCUGUUCGAUGUUCUAUGUUGUUUCUUCAGAGAAAUGAGGAAAAGGAAGAUCAGAAAGAUGAGUUUCCAGUCCAAGUAAAUACAAAACAAGGAUAGAAAAUGAUCUCUCUGAUGUCUCUCCGUCAUAUAUAGUUUAAGGAGCGAGUCACAGAAGCACAAGAUAAAACCAAGUCACAACCGCUUCAGAAAAUCAAAACAAAGGGAUGUACUUAGGCCUCUGUGGUGCUCGGCAGAGGCAGAGUUAGAAGUAGUUGGGUCUUUUCUCUGUAGUGGGCAGCUGCUCACCUGUCUGGGUUAAGAGGGUAAAGCCAUGGGCAGGGUUGGGGGGGGGAAGAGGGAAAAACCAACCCUAAAUGAUUCCCCUGUGUACUGCAUAAGAAGAUCCUGGGGAAACCCAGACAUUUGCCAGCUGGGAGCUGGCUUAACAUCAGGAGAUGAUUCCUAAAGAGCUGCUGGGAAGUUAAAACCAGCAGGUGAAGACAGAAUUGCUGGAUUGAAGCAGCAGCUGGAGAGGAGGCAGAACUUUUUAAGAGCACCUGGAAAUACUAACGGUGGGCAGGCUGCCUUAAUCUUUCAGUGUCGAACCUUGCAAAAGGAGGAGGUCUAAUUGGCUCACCGUUUUGGAGACUGAAGGCAGCAGAUAUGCUUGGCUUCUCGUAAGGGCUCCCUUGGUUACACCAUAUCACGGUAGAUGUGAGAGCACAACCGAAAAUGAGAGAUUGCAGGACCAGACAGGACGCCAGGCACAAUACAGAGGGGCCAGUCUUGCUACUGCACACCGUGACACUUUUAUAAGAACCCUCUCUGUGAGAUCCGUGUUAAUCUCUUCUGAGUGCAGCACCUCCAGUAACCCAAGAAUCUCCCAUUAGACUUUACUUCUUAAUGUUUCCGGUGCUUGGAGAGCAUGUUUCUAAUGCAUGACCCAACUAGAAAACCUUCAAACACUUUAUAAACCAUAACAAGUAUUCCAGGGAUUAUGGUAUUCAAGAUGAUGCCCUAUAUGUCCUUGCACCAUGGAAAAUUGAUAUGUUAGAGUAUUUCUUAGAGUAAACAUAAAUCUCACUGAAGGCCAGGCCUAGAGGUACUCGAAAGCACAUCACCAGGCAAGGGGGCAGGAGAACUUGGUUAAGUUUGAGCAGAUUAUGAACCAAAGCUUUAGAUAUAUCUGAGAAAGAUCUGCAGAGUUGACCAGACAUCACCCUGUGAUGUCAGUCCAUGGACCUUCAUUCAGAGAGUGGUUUCGCUUCCCUCCCAUAUUAGUCCAUUUUCUGUUCCUUUAAAUAGAUGCCUGGGACUUAUUAAUUUAAUAAAUAAUUAGAUAAAGAAGCUUAUUGCCUUCAUGAUUCUGGUGGCUGGAGGGUCCAAACAACACAGUGCUGGUGUUCUGACAUGCGUAGAUGCAGCACAACUCAACAGAGGAAAGGAAAUUAAAAGUAACGCACUGUAGGCAGAUGGUAUCAACCACACAGCAAACAUAACCUCGUGAACAACAUUCUGUUGGCCCGAGAACUAGCCCACUCUUCAAGAGCCACAAAUCCUGCCCUAGGACAUCCCUCCAGAACCUAACUACCUUCCAAUAAGGGUGCCUCUUAAAGACUCCGCUACCUCUGUGAUGCUGUCUUCAUUGUUGGCUUGACAGACUUUGGAAUCACCUAGAAGACAUACAUGCUGGUAGGAGUGAAGGAUCCUCCAGAGAUGUUCAGCCAAGGGGAUCAAAAAACCCCACCCAACAGUGGACAUCAUCCUCCUGUAGGAGUAAACUGGGAUACCAGUCUUAAUAUUCCUCCUCUGCUUUCUGACAGUAGACACAAUGUGACAAGCUGCCUCCCUCCCUGACCACCAUGCCUUUCCUGCCAGGAUCUAUUUGUAUCCUCAAACCAUGAGCCAAAAUAAACCUUUCCUUCCUUAA